CCUAAAGAUCUUCUUAGAUCCACAAAUUUAUCCAAAAAAUCACUA
rfam:Picea glauca, whole genome shotgun sequence.